GUGCUUGCUUUGACAGCACAUAUACUAAAAUUGGAACGAUACAGAGAAGUAUUAGCAUGAUCCCUGCGCAAUGAUGACAUGCAAAUUGUGAAGCGUUCCAAAUUUUU
rnacentral:snRNA from 1 species